CUACAGUGUUUGCCGUUAUGGAUCAUGACCAAGCGCCACCUGUCAAGCUCCUUGAGAAAUGACAACCACCGUUUAUAUCUUAUUACUUCCGAGUCUAUUUGGCUCUCUCUGCGAUGACUAAACAAUUCGCCUGAAACUUCUUGCGCUAUCCAUUGAAGGAGAGGUCACUUUGGCAUGGCUGAAGCUGCUGGUUGGUUUCUUAACCAUGAAAUAGGAAGAUAUGAAAGUGCUUGAAGGAAUAUGAGGUUAAGGUUGGCGGAGCAUUCUCUUCGAGCUGCAUUAGCUUCUUGAUAAUUCUUCAUGAGCAGUAAAAAAUGGAGCGAGGGUUUAGCCUCAACAUUGUCUCUACUGUAAUUUCACAUUCUACUCCAACUUGCGUUUCCAAAGAACUUGCUGAAAGGUGUUCUGGUUUUGUUACGACAAUCGUAAUGCAAAUUGUGCCCAUAAAGAAGGAAUCAACUUUGGCCCCCUGCAGCCUCUAAGUUGUAAACAAAGUACGUUGCAGUUCUUUGAACAGUGGAAGGCACUGAUACAGUGCUGGAGGGGAUAUGCGUCCUCGGGACUGUACUAUUUGAAGAGGAAUGUAGAGAAUCAUGCUGAAAGCAGCAAUAACAAUGGCCAAGAAUAUUUCAGUAGUUGGAAGAGACAUCCAGGUGUACAUUUCCUGGGGAUAGUGCUCUCAAGCAAGCUUAAAAUCAGACCAGAGUAAAGGUUUUCUUAUCUCUCAUGAUGAACGUAUUUUCAGAUAGAACCAUGGUCAAAAGUUUGAACGUCUUUUAUGUUCUGUAAAUUGUCAAAUAGUAUGUAUGUUGGGAUCCAGAGGAGUUCAUAUUAUAGUAUUAAGCAAAAAGCCUUGCCCCUUUUCUGCUUGAA